ensembl:lncRNA
AAGUAUGUUUACUCUGAUUUUUACAUUUUAUUCAUUCAUUCAAAACCAUGUUUACUCUAACUUUUACAUUUUAUUCAUUCGUUUACAAAUUUUAUACUAUGAACACACUGAAAACCACUCACAUUUGUCACUUAAAAAAACACAAGCACAGAUUUAACAUGUAGCCCAUUUCUUCAAAAUGUGGUCAAGAAAAGAGUUGGUGCCGUUUGGACUUAGGCAUUUUAACAAGUGUAUUAAAUAAGAAAAUAUACAAAAACACAUAACAUAUAAAUCAAAGUUCACUUUUAUUUUCUUAUAUAUAGAUAUAGAUAUAGAUAUAAUUUAAACAUAAAAAAACAUAAAACAAAAGAAAAAAGAAAAAACGUUCACUUCUAUUUUCAAAUGGGAAUUUUAGUAUUUUAAAACAUUCCAUUGAUCUUCCCAAAAUGUGUAGUCUUGCUUUCCAGACGCAGCUGGCGUACUGAAGUCAGAAUUUGCGUUUGACGUCAUCGUGACAUCGAGAGAUGUUCAGGAUCCUCGGAGAGAAAGAUCCCGCGCGCCCUGGCAGUCUAAUAAACCCAGGCUGCUGCGCUCUGGGGCAGCUGACAUUGACAGCCAUCACCACUGUCUGUACACCAUCGUCGAUCCCUCUUGCGAGGGCAUUGUCGGCUAUCAUCAGUCCGGAUAUAGGCUGAUCAGUUGUCAAGUUUGUGCUGCAAAGGCCAAAACUUUAGCGCUCUUAUUGUAGAAAACAGCUAGCACUUUGUGCAUAGUAAAUGGCAGACCAUCUGUAUGGUCUGAAGUCUGUUUAUUUACUCAAAUAGCACCCCAUUCCUUUAGCUCAUGCUCGGCUUUACAUUUCAUUAAUUCAAUGUCCGCAGUACACACUUAUUCCUUAUUUAACUCCUGCUAUUUGCACUAGUUUUCUUCUGCACUGUUGCUUCCAGUUUUUGUACCUGCUGUGCACACACAUACUUUUUUAUGAAGGUUCUUAUUGUCCCUUAAUUUCUAGUUAAGUUGUUAAAGCUAAACUUUUUCCAACAUGGAUGAAUUAAUCUUGUAUAGUGAUAAGCAAUUAACAAAAAAUAUUUAAAUGGAUUCUAAACAAAAGUGUAAAAUAAUUAGAGGAUAAAUGAAUCGAAUGAACUGUUUUCAGUGUGUUUGUUAUGGAAGGCAAAGCAAUGCCUUCACAUUUGCACUCCUCACCCAAAGAAACUGGGACGUCCUUUACCAUGUUUUGGAAUUCUAAUAUUUCAACUUUUUUUUCCCCAAUAGCAAAAAGAGUAUUCAAAAGUUGAUUAGAAUACAGUUUAUUUUAUUUGUAGAGAUUCUCUUUGUGAAAUCAAAAUAAGAGAAGUCAGAUCAAAUGAACUAAAAUUUAACCAAAUUUGAGUCGGUCAAAAUCAUCUGUACCAUUUUUUUUGUUAUUUUUUGUUUUUUUUACUUGUUAGCCCCUUUUUCUUUCUUAAUGCUAUCAAUGUAAAUAUUUACAGUUGUUCUAUUUUCUUCAAUAAAUUUUUUAUUCAUUAUGUGAUGCAGUUUUUGAGUUAUGUUUUUUUUCUUUUCUCAAGGUUCAAAAUUAGUUGUAAUGAAACUAUUUACUUGAUAUAAUUGAAUUGUUUUUUAUUUUUGAGAGUUUAAGCCAAGAUAAUAAGGUGAGUCAGAGAGAGGAGUUCUAAUGAAAAAAGGUGGGAGACGGCAUAUGCAGGAUAACUUUAAAAAGAGGAGAGU